CGGGUGAGUAAUACAUCGGAACGUGCCCGAUCGUGGGGGAUAACGAAGCGAAAGCUUUGCUAAUACCGCAUACGAUCUACGGAUGAAAGCAGGGGACCGCAAGGCCUUGCGCGAACGGAGCGGCCGAUGGCAGAUUAGGUAGUUGGUGGGAUAAAAGCUUACCAAGCCGACGAUCUGUAGCUGGUCUGAGAGGACGACCAGCCACACUGGGACUGAGACACGGCCCAGACUCCUACGGGAGGCAGCAGUGGGGAAUUUUGGACAAUGGGCGAAAGCCUGAUCCAGCCAUGCCGCGUGCAGGAUGAAGGCCUUCGGGUUGUAAACUGCUUUUGUACGGAACGAAAAGACUCUGGUUAAUACCUGGGGUCCAUGACGGUACCGUAAGAAUAAGCACCGGCUAACUACGUGCCAGCAGCCGCGGUAAUACGUAGGGUGCAAGCGUUAAUCGGAAUUACUGGGCGUAAAGCGUGCGCAGGCGGUUAUAUAAGACAGAUGUGAAAUCCCCGGGCUCAACCUGGGAACUGCAUUUGUGACUGUAUAGCUAGAGUACGGCAGAGGGGGAUGGAAUUCCGCGUGUAGCAGUGAAAUGCGUAGAUAUGCGGAGGACACCGAUGGCGAAGGCAAUCCCCUGGGCCUGUACUGACGCUCAUGCACGA
rnacentral:rRNA from 1 species